UUACGACCACAUCACGUUGAUACACCGAUUCCCGUACGAUCACCGAAGUUAAGCAACGUCGAGCCUGGUUAGUAUCUAGAUGAGUGACCGUUGGGAAUACCAGGUCCUGUAAG